AUUGAACGCUGGCGGCAGGCCUAACACAUGCAAGUCGAGCGGGGUUUUCGGACCUAGCGGCGGACGGGUGAGUAAUGCGUAGGAAGCUACCCGAUAGAGGGGGAUACCAGUUGGAAACGACUGUUAAUACCGCAUAAUGUCUACGGACCAAAGUGUGGGACCUUCGGGCCACAUGCUAUCGGAUGCGCCUACGUGGGAUUAGCUAGUUGGGGAGGUAAUGGCUCACCAAGGCGACGAUCCCUAGCUGGUUUGAGAGGAUGAUCAGCCACACUGGAACUGAGACACGGUCCAGACUUCUCCGGGAGGCAGCAGUGGGGAAUAUUGGACAAUGGGCGCAAGCCUGAUCCAGCCAUGCCGCGUGUGUGAAGAAGGCCUUCGGGUUGUAAAGCACUUUCAGUAGGGAGGAAGCGUUGUGUGUUAAUAGUACGCAGCGUUGACGUUACCUACAGAAGAAGCACCGGCUAACUCUGUGCCAGCAGCCGCCGUAACAC
rnacentral:rRNA from 1 species